rnacentral:rRNA from 1 species
GACGAACCGUGCGAACGUUGUUCGGAAUCACUGGGCUUAAAGGGCGCGUAGGCGGUCGACCAAGUCCGGGGUGAAAUCUUUCGGCUUAACCGGAAAAGUGCCUUGGAUACUGGUAGACUCGAGGGAGAUAGGGGCAGUUGGAACUUCCAGUGGAGCGGUGAAAUGCGUUGAUAUUGGAAGGAACUCCGGUGGCGAAAGCGAACUGCUGGACCUCUUCUGACGCUGAGGCGCGAAAGCUAGGGGAGCAAACGG